AAAUUGAAGAGUUUGAUCAUGGCUCAGAUUGAACGCUGGCGGCAGGCCUAACACAUGCAAGUCGAACGGUAACAGGAAGAAGCUUGCUUCUUUGCUGACGAGUGGCGGACGGGUGAGUAAUGUCUGGGAAACUGCCUGAUGGAGAGGGAUAACUACUGGAAACGGUAGCUAAUACCGCAUAACGUCGCAAGACCAAAGAGGGGGACCUUCGGGCCUCUUGCCAUCGGAUGUGCCCAGAUGGGAUUAGCUAGUAGGUGGGGUAACGGCUCACCUAGGCGACGAUCCCUAGCUGGUCUGAGAGGAUGACCAGCCACACUGGAACUGAGACACGGUCCAGACUCCUACGGGAGGCAGCAGUGGGGAAUAUUGCACAAUGGGCGCAAGCCUGAUGCAGCCAUGCCGCGUGUAUGAAGAAGGCCUUCGGGUUGUAAAGUACUUUCAGCGGGGAGGAAGGGAGUAAAGUUAAUACCUUUGCUCAUUGACGUUACCCGCAGAAGAAGCACCGGCUAACUCCGUGCCAGCAGCCGCGGUAAUACGGAGGGUGCAAGCGUUAAUCGGAAUUACUGGGCGUAAAGCGCACGCAGGCGGUUUGUUAAGUCAGAUGUGAAAUCCCCGGGCUCAACCUGGGAACUGCAUCUGAUACUGGCAAGCUUGAGUCUCGUAGAGGGGGGUAGAAUUCCAGGUGUAGCGGUGAAAUGCGUAGAGAUCUGGAGGAAUACCGGUGGCGAAGGCGGCCCCCUGGACGAAGACUGACGCUCAGGUGCGAAAGCGUGGGGAGCAAACAGGAUUAGAUACCCUGGUAGUCCACGCCGUAAACGAUGUCGACUUGGAGGUUGUGCCCUUGAGGCGUGGCUUCCGGAGCUAACGCGUUAAGUCGACCGCCUGGGGAGUACGGCCGCAAGGUUAAAACUCAAAUGAAUUGACGGGGGCCCGCACAAGCGGUGGAGCAUGUGGUUUAAUUCGAUGCAACGCGAAGAACCUUCCCUGGUCUUGACAUCCACAGAACUUUCCAGAGAUGGAUUGGUGCCUUCGGGAACUGUGAGACAGGUGCUGCAUGGCUGUCGUCAGCUCGUGUUGUGAAAUGUUGGGUUAAGUCCCGCAACGAGCGCAACCCUUAUCCUUUGUUGCCAGCGGUCCGGCCGGGAACUCAAAGGAGACUGCCAGUGAUAAACUGGAGGAAGGUGGGGAUGACGUCAAGUCAUCAUGGCCCUUACGACCAGGGCUACACACGUGCUACAAUGGCGCAUACAAAGAGAAGCGACCUCGCGAGAGCAAGCGGACCUCAUAAAGUGCGUCGUAGUCCGGAUUGGAGUCUGCAACUCGACUCCAUGAAGUCGGAAUCGCUAGUAAUCGUGGAUCAGAAUGCCACGGUGAAUACGUUCCCGGGCCUUGUACACACCGCCCGUCACACCAUGGGAGUGGGUUGCAAAAGAAGUAGGUAGCUUAACCUUCGGGAGGGCGCUUACCACUUUGUGAUUCAUGACUGGGGUGAAGUCGUAACAAGGUAACCGUAGGGGAACCUGCGGUUGGAUCACCUCCUUACCUUAAAGAAGC
rnacentral:rRNA from 1 species